UACGUAGGGGGCAAGCGUUGUCCGGAAUGACUGGGCGUAAAGGGAGUGUAGGCGGCCAAUUAAGUUAGAUGUGAAAUCCCACGGCUUAACCGUGGAACUGCAUCUAAAACUGGAUGGCUGGAGUGCAGGAGAGGUGAGCGGAAUUCCUAGUGUAGCGGUGAAAUGCGUAGAGAUUAGGAAGAACACCAGUGGCGAAGGCGACUUACUGGACUGUAACUGACGCUGAGGCAUGAGAGCAUGGGGAGCAAACAGG
rnacentral:rRNA from 1 species